UACGUAGGGUGCAAGCGUUAAUCGGAAUUACUGGGCGUAAAGCGUGCGCAGGCGGUUGUGCAAGACAGUUGCGAAAUCCCCGGGCUCAACCUGGGAAUUGCAUUUGUGACUGCACGGCUAGAGUGUGUCAGAGGGGGGUAGAAUUCCACGUGUAGCAGUGAAAUGCGUAGAGAUGUGGAGGAAUACCGAUGGCGAAGGCAGCCCCCUGGGAUAACACUGACGCUCAUGCACGAAAGCGUGGGGAGCAAACAGG
rnacentral:rRNA from 1 species